rnacentral:rRNA from 1 species
UGGGGAAUAUUGCACAAUGGGCGCAAGCCUGAUGCAGCCAUGCCGCGUGUGUGAAGAAGGCCUUCGGGUUGUAAAGCACUUUCAGCGAGGAGGAAGGGUAGUGUGUUAAUAGCACAUUGCAUUGACGUUACUCGCAGAAGAAGCAACGGCUAACUCCGUGCCAGCAGCCGCGGUAAUACGGAGGGUGCAAGCGUUAAUCGGAAUUACUGGGCGUAAAGCGCACGCAGGCGGUUUGUUAAGUCAGAUGUGAAAUCCCCGCGCUUAACGUGGGAACUGCAUUUGAAACUGGCAAGCUAGAGUCUUGUAGAGGGGGGUAGAAUUCCAGGUGUAGCGGUGAAAUGCGUAGAGAUCUGGAGGAAUACCGGUGGCGAAGGCGGCCCCCUGGACAAAGACUGACGCUCAGGUGCGAAAGCGUGGGGAGCAAACA